rnacentral:rRNA from 1 species
AACGGUAAAAGGGCCUUCGAAACUGGAUUUCUUGAGUUCGGAAGAGGUUGGUGGAAUUCGUGGUGUAGCGGUGAAAUGCAUAGAUAUCACGAAGAACACCGGUGGCGAAGGCGGCCAACUGGUCCGAUACUGACGCUGAGACACGAGAGCGUGGGGAGCGAACAGGAUUAGAUACCCUGGUAGUCCACGCUGUAAACGAUGCAUGCUGGUUGUUGUCCCUUCGGGGGCAGUGACGCAGUUAACGCAGUAAGCAUGCCACCUGGGGAGUACGUUCGCAAGAAUGAAACUCAAAGGAAUUGACGGGGGCCCGCACAAGCGGUGGAGCAUGUGGCUUAAUUCGAUGCAACGCGAAGAACCUUACCUAAACUAAAUCUACGGUGACCGCUCCUGAAAGGGAGCUUCCCUUCGGGGCACCAUAGAAGGUGCUGCAUGGCUGCCGUCAGCUCGUGCCGUGAGGUGUUGGGUUAAGUCCCGCAACGAGCGCAACCCCUGUGGUUAGUUACCAGCACGUAAUGGUGGGGACUCUAGCCAGACUGCCUACGCAAGUAGUGAGGAAGGUGGGGACGACGUCAAGUCAUCAUGGCCCUUACGUCUAGGGCUGCACACGUGCUACAAUGGACGGUUCAAUGGGAAGCGAGCCCGCGAGGGUCAGCAGAUCCCCAACACCGUUCCCAGUUCGGAUUGGAGUCUGCAACUCGACUCCAUGAAGUCGGAAUCGCUAGUA